UUCGGUGAAUCUGCUGUUUCCUGGGAUUUUGAAACUGGGAGAGGUUAAGAAGAAAGACAGCAAUGGACUAACAGACCAAGAGCAGAGAAGAAGUGAAAAGCAGCAAGGCCAAAAACCCUAUCUGAAGAUGCC